UACUUUUAUUAAACUCGGGAACACAGCGUUCAUCUAACAAUCUUCAACGUUUCUUCUUAUUUCUCUAUGCAUUCUCAUCUGUCGAUCAAUAUUUUAUCCCCUAUUAGGAUUUUACAUUGUUUAUUGUUAUUUUCCGAUUGAAAUUUAUAAUAACUGGAUUUAGGAACGACUGACGCCAAGGACUCCUAAUUCGCAAGGAGAUAAACAAGUUCAUCUUCUGCAGUUCGUCAAUCGAUCCAUUAAUGUGAACCUAAUUUGCAACUCAUUUUCCAAACGAGGAUUAGGGUUUCUGAGAAGGUACACGUAAUCCAGCAAAUAAAUCACGAGGGAGAGGUUGAAUCAAUGCAACUCCCAAAAAUAAGUCUUUGGAUGCUAUGCAAAUAUAUAAGGUUUAUGAUGGUGUUGUAGAAGAUGUUGCAUGGCAUUUAAGGCAUGGAUAUUUGUUUGGUUCAUGUGGGGAUGACCGUUACUUGCACAGAUCGGAUCUCCGGUGUUGUUCGCUUCACUGGAAUAAACGAUGGUAAUUAGCGGUUGUUGCGGUUGUUUUUCCAGCGAGUUCGGGUCUCAGUCAACCAACGCGUGUCCAUUGGUUGUCACUUUAACACUUUUAUACUCCAUGAGGAAAAUGAUGGUUGAAAAAGCAUUGGUAUGUCUGAUAACAAUCCAGAUUAAUGUUUCUUUUUCCCCUAACCAUAGUUGUUAAAGGCGUUAGGCGCACUCAAGGAGCAUAGGUCUCGCGUGUGGCCUAGGCACAAGGCACCGAAAAAGUGUGGGCUUGAAACAAAGAUGAUGACGAUGACAUUAAUGUGGUUCAUAUUGUCGCUUCCAUUGAUGUUGUCAUGGCUCAGUUCGUCUACAAAGAUCUUUUGCUCGAUCACCACUUUCUUUCUUUACGGAAUUGCCAGCCCUAAGUUUAGUAAUCAAUUUGAUUCGUUGGAAUUGCGUGUCUCAAACCUCGAAUCGGCAUCACCAAAGCUACAAAAUCACUCGGGUCCGAGUCAAGUUACAUCAACGGGAGACUUUUUGCAGAGCAGGGGAAAUCUGUAUUGGAACUUCAGUGUGAAGUUGGUGCUUUGGCUUUUUGUUAGGAGUCAAAUGACUUGAUGGGAGCACAAGCACUUAAAUUUUUCUUUUUCAAACAUGCAACAUCUGGAGUUUAAUUUUUACCCUUUUAGCUUAAUAUUGGUGUAGUAGAUAAUAACAUGAGGUUUACACUUGAAUUUUAAAUUAAAGAUUGAAACACUAUUAUAGAUAUUUAGGUUGUUUCAAAUUGUUUUUUUUUUCAUGUGGUGGUGAUGGUUAGUGCACAAAGUGAACCUGCAAGCAUAGUGUUCCAGUUUUUCGGUAGAUCACCACGAAGGUUCAGCCAUGAAGAGAUUGAGAAAGCAACCACUGGAUUUUCAACAAGCAACUUCUUGGCGGAAGGUGGAUAUGGUAAAGUAUAUAGAGGCGUUUUGAGCAAUGGACAAGUUAUUGCGGUAAAAAACGAACAUGCGUAAUUCACUCGCGCACCGUUGCACGUUAAGGGCUAUUGUAUGUUAACCUUCCCAUAUCUAUUAUAUAUAAUAAAUGAAAGUUUUUUGGGCUAACGUGUCACUUGAUUAGGGAAUCCUCAAUCCCAUUUUCCCGCCCAACAGUACCACAUCCCCUUUUUUCUUUUAUCUCACUUUUUCACAAAACCUAGAUACCAAAGUGUCAUCCACUACUUCAUUCUUCUCCUUCACGCACGCUUGAAGGAUUUAGGGUUCUAUUAUUCAGGUAUGAUUAUUUGUUUAUAUGUUGAUUUUACUUUUUGAUUUCACUGCAAUCUUCUCUCACAUUGUAUUUAUGUUGAUUUCACUUCAAUCAACCUCAUCGAAAUGGAGUAAUUGAGAGAAGCUUUUCUGUUCAUAUUUCGGUGACGGAUCUGAUCUUAUCCCCUCUGGUUUGAAUCUGGGUUUUUGUUUGAUUUGAAUCUUCAGGUUGAUUGAUUAAUGGGUAUUUGUUUUAGUUCUGAGUUUGAAUACUGUUUAAGUGUGGCUUUAGCAAGUUUAUUUUAUCCUAAUACCGUUUCUAAGCUUGCCCCCAAAAUUGUGCCUUGCAGAACUUUUGGACUAGAGGAGAUGUGUUGAUGGUGACCAACAAGAAUUAAUAGAGGGGGGUUUUGAACCUUGCUUUAAACUUGAGGACCUAAAUUUGGAGGUCAGAAAAGUUGUGAUGAUAAGGAUGGAGAGAAUCUUGAAGGAGAAUCUUCUAGAAGAGUGGAUAUUCCAGUUAUGCCAAUUCAUGAAGUGAUAUUUUCUGCUCUUGACAAGCCUAAGCUCCUCAGUCAGCUUUCAGCUUUGCUUUCUGACAUAGAUCUCAACAUCCGUGAAGCACAUGUAUUUUCAACAACCGACGGCUAUACAUGAAGCAAUGGAGAAAGCGAUUGCUAGGGGUGAGGAAACAGAGGCUUUACAUGAAGCAAUGGAGAAAGCGAUUGCUAGAAGUGAGGGUUCAUGGUCCGGUUCUUCACAUUCCAAAUCAGCUGUAGAGAAAGAAGCUGAUUUUGAAGAUGCCAAGAUAGAUAGAAGAUUACUGAACAUUGGGGAAAGAAUUGCAUCUGGAUCCUGUGGAGAUUUAUUUCGUGGAGAGUACCUGGGUCAGGAUGUUGCUGUCAAGAUUCUUAGAUCUGAACAUUUAAAUCAAACAUUGGAGGAUGAAUUCUCUCAUGAAGUAGCCAUGCUCCAGUAUUGUUUUCAUCAUAGCUGAGAGAGGUUCAUCAUAGCAAUAUUGUUCGUUUUAUCGGUGCAUGCACAAAGCAACCUCCUUUGUGCAUAAUAACAGGAUUUCAAUGCAAGAAUCACUUAUUUUGGGCUGCCAAUACAUGGCCUAAUAAAUGAUGAGACACAUAUGUACCAAGAUGCUGGAUUUUAGCAUGAUUUCUUACACUUGCAAACAUGUGGCACUGUUGCUCUUUAUUUGAUUAUUUUUAUGGUAUCCCUAAUUGUCAAAAGAAGAUUUCGCAGAGCUAUGCCCAUUUUGAUGUGGAAACUGCAACUGCAACUUGUGGUUACAGCCCAACAUUAAGAUGCCGAAAAUUAAAUUUGAUAAUGAUGUGAAGUUGCAACAUGUGACAACUGUGCCCUUUAAUCGAUGAACAAUGCAAAACAAAGUCAAUUAUUAAUAAAACAAUGUGUUUUGGUGUUA